rnacentral:rRNA from 1 species
GUAGGGGGCUAGCGUUAUCCGGAUUUACUGGGCGUAAAGGGUGCGUAGGCGGUCUUUUAAGUCAGGAGUGAAAGGCUACGGCUCAACCGUAGUAAGCUCUUGAAACUGGAGGACUUGAGUGCAGGAGAGGAGAGUGGAAUUCCCAGUGUAGCGGUGAAAUGCGUAGAUAUUAGGAGGAACACCAGUAGCGAAGGCGGCUCUCUGGACUGUAACUGACGCUGAGGCACGAAAGCGUGGGGAGCAAACAGGAUUAGAUACCCUGGUAGUCCACGCCGUAAACGAUGAGUACUAGGUGUCGGGGGUUACCCCCCUCGGUGCCGCAGCUAACGCAUUAAGUACUCCGCCUGGGGAGU